CCCGUUCUCAUCCCGAACACGACGGUUAAGACUUAAACGGCCGAUGGUACUAUGCUGGAGACGGCAUGGGAGAGUAGGUGGCUGCCAGAU
rnacentral:rRNA from 1 species